rnacentral:tRNA from 1 species
AGGGGCAUAGCUCAGAGGCAGAGCGUGCGCUUAGCGUGCACGAAGUCCUGGGUUCAACCCCCAGAACCUCUA